UUGUAUAUACUGCUCACAGAGAUACCCAUAGAUCAAACUCGCAAAAGUGCAUUUGAACAAAGGGCUUAAACACUCAAAUAAUUAAAUUGCAGGCUUUCCUAUUGAUGUAAAAGACAUAUUAUUUUUGCUUAAACCUAAUAGUCAAUGGAUUAUGAAAUUUAAUACCAUUAAAUGUACCACCUGGAAAAAAAAGUUGAUAAUCUAUGAUGCAUGCUCAGGAAUAAUUCUAUACAGCAUAUAUAUUGGUCACAGUAACUUUUGGAAACUUUGAAAUGUAUUGAAUAUAUUCCAAGUGAGUUGUCUUGUUCUUUUUUUUUUUUCUUCCCCACAUGGUUUUCAGCUGAUAGGCAGCCAUUUUGUGCCUAUCCCAGUUGGCAAAUAUAACACAAUUUGAUCUCUUUCCAUUCUUAGAAACAAUGAAGCCCUUUGUUUUUGCCUUUCAAGACGAUAAAUGGAAUUGCAGUCAUUCCUCCAGUGGCUAAUACCUGCCAGCAGAUCCUGAAAGAUGUCAUUGAUUUCUAGAUGUAUCCUGAUUUCAAGUGCAGAUUUCUUCAAAAGUGUGGCUACCCGACAUAAACAUCCUCUACCCAGAUUCCAUCUGAAGUGCUGAAAGAUGAAAAGUAUAUGGGCUUUGGUGCUUGGCAGAACUGAGUCCUCUUUCCAGCAAUGACCUUAGCUCACAUACGUUUUCUAUUCUGUAAAAUAAAGGCAAUAAAACAGGAA